AUUAUGAUUUAUUAAUUAACACAUUUUUAUUCUAACAUGUUUAAUAUUUUAUUUUGUAGAAUUUGGUAGAAAGUUGCAUUUAGCAACGAAUGAUAAUUAAUUCAGAAAUUGUGAUGCAUUUAUUGAAAAUAAAUCAAAGUGCAAUGUUCUUGAAGUGCUUUUUUAUUGAGACGAUGUGCACAUGAAGAUUUAUUUUUUUGUGGCUUGGAGUGUUUAUGAUAAUAUUAUUUGUUGUUUUUUUCAUUAAGACCUUUGAAGACAAUGGUUUGUAAUUUGGAUGUUAACUUAUUGGUGUGUGAUUGUGAGUGUGUGUUAUUUAUUUAAAUUUUUCAGAGGUAGAAAAAUAUUAGUAAGUUAAAAAAUAUAUUGAACACAAGAUUGAUAUUAAUAAUUUCAUAUGAAUGAAUAUUCAAUGGCCAAAAAAUUUAAUAAACAUAAGAUUGACAAUAACAAUUUAAUACAAUUGAAUAUUUAGGGGUAAAAAAAUUAAAUAUAUUUGGAAUCUUUAAAGAAAAUGAGAUAAUAUCAACAUUAAUUGUAGGCCUAACAAAAAUCCAUUAGAAGCCCAUUACAAAGCCCAUUACAAAGCCAAAAAAGCCCAAAAUGUAUAUAGGUUUGUUUGGUUUUUUGG